AAGACCUUGCGCUUUUGGAGCGGCCGAUGUCUGAUUAGCUAGUUGGUAGGGUAAUGGCCUACCAAAGCUUCGAUCAGUAGCUGGUCUGAGAGGACGACCAGCCACACUGGGACUGAGACACGGCCCAGACUCCUACGGGAGGCAGCAGUGGGGAAUUUUGGACAAUGGGCGCAAGCCUGAUCCAGCCAUGCCGCGAGUGAAGAAGGCCUUCGGGUUGUAAAGCUCUUUCAGCCGGGAAGAAAAGGCUACGACGAAUAAUCGUAGCUCAUGACGGUACCGGAAGAAGAAGCACCGGCUAACUACGUGCCAGCAGCCGCGGUAAUACGUAGGGUGCGAGCGUUAAUCGGAAUUACUGGGCGUAAAGGGUGCGCAGGCGGUUUUGUAAGUCAGAUGUGAAAUCCCCGGGCUUAACCUGGGAACU
rnacentral:rRNA from 1 species